rnacentral:lncRNA from 1 species
CAUAACUAACUACCCUGAUUUUUUCCUAAACCCUGACAAUUUCGCCACAAACUCUAAAUUUCAAACCUAAAACUUUAACCGUGUUGUUUCCUCUAAACCAUAAACCUUUUCUUAAACGUUAACAAACCUUAUUUUUAUUUCCUAUUUUCGCUCAUAUUUAUGUUAUUCAUACAUUGUAACUGCUUCGCCCUUGUAAUAUUUUAAGUUUUAACUUGUAGUAUUUUCAGUUUUACUUUUCGCCAUCUUUAUUAUGUAACUGCACCAAAG